rnacentral:rRNA from 1 species
AGAGUUUGAUCCUGGCUCAGGAUGAACGCUAGCUACAGGCUUAACACAUGCAAGUCGAGGGGCAGCAUGGUCUUAGCUUGCUAAGGCCGAUGGCGACCGGCGCACGGGUGAGUAACACGUAUCCAACCUGCCGUCUACUCUUGGACAGCCUUCUGAAAGGAAGAUUAAUACAAGAUGGCAUCAUGAGUCCGCAUGUUCACAUGAUUAAAGGUAUUCCGGUAGACGAUGGGGAUGCGUUCCAUUAGAUAGUAGGCGGGGUAACGGCCCACCUAGUCUUCGAUGGAUAGGGGUUCUGAGAGGAAGGUCCCCCACAUUGGAACUGAGACACGGUCCAAACUCCUACGGGAGGCAGCAGUGAGGAAUAUUGGUCAAUGGGCGAGAGCCUGAACCAGCCAAGUAGCGUGAAGGAUGACUGCCCUAUGGGUUGUAAACUUCUUUUAUAAAGGAAUAAAGUCGGGUAUGCAUACCCGUUUGCAUGUACUUUAUGAAUAAGGAUCGGCUAACUCCGUGCCAGCAGCCGCGGUAAUACGGAGGAUCCGAGCGUUAUCCGGAUUUAUUGGGUUUAAAGGGAGCGUAGAUGGAUGUUUAAGUCAGUUGUGAAAGUUUGCGGCUCAACCGUAAAAUUGCAGUUGAUACUGGAUAUCUUGAGUGCAGUUGAGGCAGGCGGAAUUCGUGGUGUAGCGGUGAAAUGCUUAGAUAUCACGAAGAACUCCGAUUGCGAAGGCAGCUCGCUAGACUGCAACUGACACUGAUGCUCGAAAGUGUGGGUAUCAAACAGGAUUAGAUACCCUGGUAGUCCACACGGUAAACGAUGAAUACUCGCUGUUUGCGAUAUACAGCAAGCGGCCAAGCGAAAGCGUUAAGUAUUCCACCUGGGGAGUACGCCGGCAACGGUGAAACUCAAAGGAAUUGACGGGGGCCCGCACAAGCGGAGGAACAUGUGGUUUAA